AUUUAGGGGGGAUUUGGGGGGGAUUUAGGGGACGGGGGGGGUGCAGCCGCGCCGAAAUGCGGGAUUCCCAGCGAUUUGCUUAUUUUGUACUUUAAAAAAACAGGGAAAAACACCGCCUGGGCGCCCCGCCGUCACCCCCGCCUCACACACGCGCGGCGGCUGGGCGCGCUGAGGGGGCUCCCCCCGCUCUGCCCCCCCCCCCCCCGGUACAGCGGGACCCCCCCCCUGCUGCCCCCCUGCUGACCGGGGCUGCGCCCCCCCCCCUCACCCCCGGCCCCCGCUCGGUAACGGGGCAGCGGGGCGCUGACUGAGGGGGCUCUGCCACACUCAAGAUGGCGCCGGGAGCGCUUCGCGGGGCAGCCGCACGGCUCCGCAGCUCCCCCACAGCCGCUCCGCCGCCACCGACGGCCCCGCGGGCACGGGGGAGCCGCAGGGAAGCGGGAUCCGGUGUGAGGGGAGCGGUGGAAAGGGGAAAAAAAACAAGGAAGAGCCCCCCCAGACGGAGGAGCGCCUUUGCCACACUCAAGAUGGCCGCCGGGCCGGGGCGCGAGUCGGCAGGACUUGUCCUCGGAGGGCGGGACAUAGGGCCCGCGCGACGCGGAUUGGUCGGCAGCGCCGGGCGAACGCUGUGCUGACGCUUUGCGGCCUCCUAUUGGCUGAGGCGCCUGCCCGUCGAAAACGGACCUCGGCGUCCUUCACCUCACGGGAUUGAGGCAGCCGCAGCGGGGUCGAGGCCUCAAGGGCCUGGAGGCUGCGGCCUCCGACCCCUGGGGCCUCCGGCCAGGGCUUCCCUCGCUGCGUAGGAGAGGGGCCAGGGCUUUCUCCACGUGCCCAGGCGAAGAACGGGGCCGCACGCACGCCCCGGGAUGUCUGCUCGCUGCUGGAGGCAGCAGCGCCCUCUGCCACGGCCGAGGAGGAGGCUGGAGGCCGCUGGGGCUCUGCGUCCGAAAGAGGAAAGGAAAUAAUUAAAAAAAAAAAAAAAAAAAAAGCCUGGCCCUAAAUAAAGCACUUCUGCUCUAACUUGGCUUCAACGCGUGCCUACUCCGCGAACGAGGGAUGUUCCUCUGGGCUCGGUUCCCACGUUUCGAAAAGGCUUGGAAUAGAGAGGAAGAGUUAAAAAAAGCGAUGCGGGAUGUUUGGGGAAGAAAAGGAGGAAUCCUCGAGGGACGCUCACGCCAGGAUCCCACACAGAAGGCAGGGGGGUGGUGGUGGGGAGAGAACCGAGCCCGGAGUGAAAGCAAAACUGCGCAGGAGAGCGGAGCCGCGGCCGUAGCGGGACGGCUGGUGCAUGCGAGGAGGAGGGAGGCAGCCAGCGCUUGGCAUUUUAUGCCUCAGCAGUCCAAAAAGAAACAAGGAAAAAAAAAAAAAAAGAACUGUUGCCUGUAAAAGGCAGCUGCUGCCGCUUCACCUCUCCUCCACCCCUCCCCGCCGCCAGGCUGGGGAGCGGCUCCGCGGGCUGCGGCGAGAGGAGGAGGAGGAGGAAAAGGAGGAGGCUGAAGGGGACUUUGCAAAAGUGCCCCGGCAGCGGGACAGAAGUUUCCAGGGCUGAGCUCUGCCCGGGAUCUUGGCCCUGCUCCGCCGUCGUCUGCGGGAGGCGAUGGCUCUGGCGGUGCUGGAGGAGGCGGUCGGAGUUUUCCCUCCUCGCCGGCCGUUUCCCUAGCUCAGCAAGUAGCUGUCUCUCUAAUCCCCGGCAAAGAUCCUGCUGCUGGGGCGAUUAUUUCAUCGCGGCAAGCUGCUCCUUCGGAGGAAAUUCUCAUUACGCUCUUUCGGAGAGGCAGGGGAGGGGCGACUGUCACUCAGGCGCUCUGGAAAAAACAGAGGGAUGAGCCUGCAGCAUCGCCGGGCUCCGGCACGAGAUGCGGUGGUGUUUCUAGGUCAGGCUGGCGAUGCGGGACGUGAAGCCAGCGGAGAUGACAUCCUGGCUGUGUCACCUUCUGUGCCCCGAAGGGCGAGGGGGCAGGCGGCGCCGUGCCCCGUGGGUGCCAGAAGCAUCUUUGUGAGACCUUGCCGCAGGAGGCAGAGGCCACGCUUGGGGAACGCCGGCCACCACGGCCAGGACGGGGCCGACCUCCUCCGUGCGUCCCCGUGAGCCGAGCAGGGACGGGAGCAGCUCUCUGCGGUGCCUUUAAUUAGGAGCUGGAGACACAGCCUUCGCCUUUCCCCAGAGGAUUGCAAAAGGCCCAGGCGGGCCCCACACUUGAGCUCACGGCCAUCCCUGCUCCUACACGCGCUUACAAAACAGGGCUCUGACUCACUGGCGUUUCCCGGCCCCGCGCUAACCGACCCCGGGGAGAUGUUUGCAGGGCUCCCUCGGCGGGACCUGGGACGUUCGGCUGCUCUGCGGGGACGUGGCGUGGUCCCACUGAUGUCCCCGCUUCCAAGCAUGAGCCCGCAGCGAGGACAUCUUGCUGGGGAGGGUUAUCCGCAAGGAGCGGAGGAUGUGGGGCAAGGACCGUGCCCUGACCCCAGCAGGCAAUGACACCACGGUCCCUUGAUGUCCAAGAUGCUCCGUGGCUUCUCCAUGGCUGCAGGGAGCCACCAGUUUGGGGCCAGGGCAUGGGAACACCCUUUCUGCAGCUGCCAGGGCCAGGCUGAGGGUAACAAACCCCCCUGGCACUGCUGCUUCUGCUCCUGCCCGCGGGCAGGGUGGGGACACGACUUGGGGGACGAUGAUGGACACCGAGGUGGUGGCACCGUGCCACCAGAGCCGGUGCUCAGAGCCCUGUCCUUCCCCACCCAGCUGCCCGCCAGCCGGGUUUAGAGGCAGCAAAGCUGAUUAUUGCCUUUCUCCCCAGGGAAGGGUGAGCAGGGCAUGGGGGCAGCCUGUCCUGGAGGCAGGGGGAUGAGACGGGUGGGCUUGGUAAGGCUGGGAAGCAGUUGUUUCCCUUUCUUUAUUAUUAUUAUUAUUAUUUUUUAAAUUAUUUUUCUGUCCACCCCCUCCAUUUGAAGGUCACUUGUGACUUCAAGCCCAAGUGUGCAACACCACGGAUCAGGCUCAGGGCUCAUCGCACCGCGAUUACACACCCACACCCCGCCUGGGUCCCGGUGCCAGAGGUGGAGUUUCGCUCCUCAGGGCUCCUGCCCGGGUGCUCAAAGGGCUGCACAGAAGAGAUUUAAAAGAAAAGAAAGGGAGGGAGGAGGCAAGGCCGGAUUCUCCCUCCCUGCCUCUCCCAGUGCUUUGCAAACACGAGGUCUUUGCGAUUUGCUUAGCAGGAGGGAAAACAUCCCUGUGCUCACCCGGGGCUGGACGUGCAGCGGGGCAGGGACUGCACCCUGGCAUUCGGCACGCUGUCCUCUGUCCCCAUUCCUCCCGCUGUCCCCAGUGGGGUGUCCCCAAGGGCCAUGGGGUGCCAGGGGACGUCGUGCAGCGGGGACGGCCACGUGGCGAGCCACCGCUUGCUCCUCUCAUCCCUCCUCGCACACCUGGGAGGAGGUGCGCGCGCAUGCACGCACACACACACAUACACUCACCAAACCAACCCCGAAUCUGGAUUGUUAUCUGAGAGAAUUAAUUACUGGCUCAUGAAUAUUCAGAUUAGAAACUCAGCUGAACCUGGCGGCGGUUUGGCGCUCGGGGCGGCCCUGGGAAGAAGAAUUCCUCCGGAGAGAUAUAAAUCACCGCUCCCCCUCCGUCGCUUUCCCAGCGGAGAGCGCUCCCUCCUCGGAAAGGCAGAACCUCGAUUUCCUUUUUUUUUUUUUCUUUUUUCCUCUCCCCCUUCUUCAUUUUCAAUCCGCGCGGGGCCCCCGUAAUUACAAUGGGCUGCUUUAGGGCUUGUGUUAUUUAUUGGGUAAGAGGGACACACCUACCCGGCUCCAGCCUGCCCGCCUGUCGCGGCUUGCCGCUCCUGCCCGCCGCGCCGUGCCCGCCUGGUUUAGCUCGAGAGGCGCGAGCAGAGCGAGAAGGGGCCCGAGAGGGGCCAGCGGGGACCUUGGCCGAUGGGCUAAGGUCUCACCGUGGUGUUGCAGCAGAGCUGGGAGCCGCGCCGCUGAUAUUGCAAAGCACAAACAUCUUCCUGUGCCGCGGUGGCGGAUGGUCGAUGCCACCGGCGCUCGCACCUCAUUUCGCUCCGCUCGUGAAAUCGUUGCUCCCAUUUUACAGGUGGGGAAGGCGAGGCACGGAGCGGGGAGGCAGUUUGCGACCCGAGGAAAUGGGAAGAAAAGCCCUCGGCUCUAUGCUCCAGCUGCCAGGACCGUCCCCGUGUGCUGCUUCCCAGCACUGCGUCCCCCUGCCCGGCCCCGCUGCCAUCCGCGGGGGCUUGUGCGCUGGGAGGAGGCGAGCGUGCAGGGCUGAAGACCACAUGGCUGGAGGGAAUUAAAUAAUUGAUGGCCCAGAAGUCUCCAGCAGCUACCGAGCCUCCAGGGGCUGCAAUCGGGGAGGCAAAGCAGAGCCCCCUCCGCAAGAGCGUGGGGCCACCAGAAAGCAGCAAGCUCCAGGCCAACGAAGUGGCAGCUCUCCUGCCACGGCAGCCUCCUGGCAUGGGGAGCAGCUUGAAAAAUUUACAGGCUAACAACAAACCAGACAAAUGCCCUUUUGUCAGCGGGCAUCCCGGGCAUCAGCCCCGCAGCAGGAGGAGGUUUUCCCGGCCGAAGCUGCGAGGCGGAGCUGCUGCGGGAUCUGGCGGGCUGCGGGGUGAGGCAUCUCCCUGCGCUAGACAUAUUUGUUUGUCGAUGCUGAAUCUGCCAAUAAAAGUGGUGCA